rnacentral:rRNA from 1 species
GACGUAGGGCGCGAGCGUUGUCCGGAUUUAUUGGGCGUAAAGAGCUCGUAGGCGGCCAACUAAGUCAGACGUGAAAUCCCUCGGCUUAACCGGGGAACUGCAUCUGAUACUGGAUGGCUUGAGUUCGGGAGAGGGAUGCGGAAUUCCAGGUGUAGCGGUGAAAUGCGUAGAUAUCUGGAGGAACACCGGUGGCGAAGGCGGCAUCCUGGACCGACACUGACGCUGAGGAGCGAAAGCCAGGGGAGCAAACGGG